rnacentral:rRNA from 1 species
GGAAUAUUGGACAAUGGGCGAAAGCCUGAUCCAGCAAUGCCGCGUGAGUGAUGAAGGCCUUAGGGUUGUAAAGCUCUUUUACUGGGGAUGAUAAUGACAGUACCCAGAGCAUAAGCUCCGGCUAACUCCGUGCCAGCAGCCGCGGUAAUACGGAGGGAGCUAGCGUGGUUCGGAAUUACUGGGCGUAAAGCGCACGUCGGCGGCGAUUCAAGUCAGAGGUGAAAGCCCGGGGCUCAACCCCGGAACUGCCUUUGAAACUAGAUUGCUAGAAUCCUGGAGAGGCGAGUGGAAUUCCGAGUGUAGAGGUGAAAUUCGUAGAUAUUCGGAAGAACACCAGUGGCGAAGGCGACUCGCUGGACAGGUAUUGACGCUGAGGUGCGAAAGCGUGGGGAGCAAAC